rnacentral:lncRNA from 1 species
AUGAAGAGAGCUCUCCCUUGCCGUUGCCGGGCCUCGGUGUGUGCGAAGUCAGGGCACUUCACAACUGCGCCCUGUUUAAACAGGAAAAGCAUGCACCAUUUUGUCGGGGAGGAGGGAGCAGCCCAGAGUCUCUCCCUUCAGUUCAGUCCCCAGGGCCCCAGACCAACAAAGAAGACAUUAAAAACCUGCAGCCCUGAGAGGGAAGGAAACUGCCUCCCUCGGUCUUCCCCAAGGUCAGUGGAACCUUGCCAAGGCCAAUGCUCAGCCUAGGGUGACCCUCAGCGUGUCACAUCUUCUCCUGUCCCUCCAGCCCAGCUGUCAGGCCUGGUGCAAGGACAGGAAAGGCCCCCAGCAGUGUGAAAGACCAGCCAAGGAAAGCAGAGUCCAGGCUUCCCUGUGGUCCAGUGAGCAGCCGGGUGCCCUGUGCUGCUAGACGCCACGGGGGGCUUCUGCUUUUCAGAAAGGUUGAGGCAAACCAUGAAAGUGCGGUCUGCUCCUUUCCCCCGGUACAUUGCUUGUCUGGAUACACUGGAUAUCUGACGACCAAAAUAGA